CACGUAAGGUGCGAGCGUUUGUUCGGAAUUAUUGAGCGUAAAGAGCUCGUAGGCGGUUUGUCGCGUCUGCCGUGAAAGUCCGGGGCUCAACUCCGGAUCUGCGGUGGGUACGGGCAGACUAGAGUGAUGUAGGGGAGACUGGAAUUCCUGGUGUAGCGGUGAAAUGCGCAGAUAUCAGGAGGAACACCGAUGGCGAAGGCAGGUCUCUGGGCAUUAACUGACGCUGAGGAGCGAAAGCAUGGGGAGCGAACAGG
rnacentral:rRNA from 1 species